ACUAAAAUUAUGUGUUAACUAUUUCUACUUUUCUUAUUUUUCCUCUUAAUUUUCACCAAAAUUGUAACUAUGAGUAAUAUAUGUUUGCAACAAGUCAAUUAACAAAGAAGGGUAGAAACAACCAGUACAUGCGUGAUGCCGGAAACAAUUAGGUUGGAAUCCCGUCCCCUUUCGUUUGUAUCGCUCUCGUGACUUGGCUCAUUCGCACCAAAAAAAAAUAAAAAAAAUUGAUCGCUCUCUCUCCUCGAUGCUUUGUUCUGUUUGCACUUCAUCUUCUUCGCCAAGCUUCAUCAAUUCAGGCACGAUUAAUUCAAAAAAAAGAUUUGCUUCGCCCUAACAAUUUUUUUCUACUCGAACUAUUUAAGAGCAAAAGCCCCAACUUUUUUAUUUCAAUUCGUCCAAUUUGAUUAUUGUGGAAGUUAGGGUUCAUCUCCAAUUUUUUUGUGCCAUGGCAUUGGAAUCAUAUACCCAGAUUUCUGAUUCAAUAUUCUCUAUUUUAAAUUUAUUAAUAUUCAUAUUUUUGUUUUAUUUUUUUGUUUAUUUGGGAGUAUUUUUCAUAUGGGUGUUAGAUUAGAUUUUCAAGGGCUUUUGCUAAAAGUAGUUGCUUUUUGAAGCAUUUGGUGCUUUUUUCUUCUUCUGGGAUUUCUGUUGUUAUUGUUAAUGGGCGCUUUAGAUGAGGGUCGUAUGAUGUGGAGCUUGAAAAUUCAUUGAAAUUGUUGGAAGUUAAAGGUAAAGUUGGAGAGAGAGUGAGCAUAUUAGUUUUUUUAGGGUUUUUUUGGGGUUUUUUUAAGCGUGAAAUUAGAAGAAAAUCAUAAAGAAGAAAAAAAUCCAUUUUUUAUAGGCAUGUGACCCGCAUGCGCGGGUCAAUGUCGGAAAAAUUGAUUCAACCGCCAGAAAAUGGGUGCAGGUCCCAAUUCACAACAAAAACAAUGAAUUUAGGUCCUAUCUCACAACUUUUUUUAAUAAGUUCCUUUGUCACAAUUUUUUUACUUUAAAAUGUCAUUUUUGACACAACAAUAAUCCUAAACAUAAUAUAUAUAUAUAUAUAUAUAUAUAUAUAUAUAUAUAUAUAUAUAUCACUACUACAAAAAUGGGCAAAGAGACCCUAAAGAAAAGACCCAUUGGUUGAGAUAACGGGUCUCUUCAAUAUAAAAGACCCAUUAUUUGAGAUAACGGGUCUCUAAUGAAUGAAAUAAGACAACCUAAACUAAAUUAAGAAUAGCAAGAGACCCGUUAUUUGAUUUAACGGGUCUCUAAUUUACCAUAGGGCCCACAUUCUCUCCACCGAAAAUAAAAAGGGAGAACUAAAAGACCCGUUAUUUAAAACAACGGGUCUCUCCAUGCACUGGAGCCACGGAUUUAAAAAGAAGGAGAAAAGGAAGAGACCCCUUAUUUGUUUACCGGGUCUUUUGCUCUUCCUUCUUCAAAUCUCCCCACAAAUUAAAUGGCAAAAUAAAUGGCAAAAUAAAUAAGGUCUUUUCCAUCUCUCUUCCUCCAUACCACACCUCUCGAUCUGAGAGACCAAAGUGUAGAAAAUCUCCGCGAUGUUGUAGAAUCCAAGGUUCAACGCUUCAAAAUAUUCUCAGAUCUGAACCAGAAGAAAUUACGGCAUAUGCUAAUUUUCAACCUCGAAGAGUUCAUCGCUCUAGCUAUUUUACAGAGAACAUAGCUUUUUGAAUAUGCAAAGUUUCUUGGGAACUCUCAGUUUUCUCUGCUUCAACUCCAGUCAUACAAACUUGUAUAUGCGCACAUGUUGGCCGAGGUUGGAAGGAUUUCGGAUUCAUUGAAAUACUGGCAAGCUGUUUACAAAUCUCUCAAAUUGGACGAUCACCGGAAGAAGAUACAUUGAAACAGUUAUUAUCAUCUCUUGAAGAGAGGAUUAGGACACACCAACAGAGUGGAUAUGCAGCUAACUUGGCUCCAGGAAAGAUAGUGGUUAAAUUGCUCAACUUUUUUGAUAGUAUAGUUCAUCGCAUUGCUCAACUUUUUUGAUAGUACAGUUCAUCGCAUUGUUGAUAGUACUGGUUAAAUGUGUUUCCCAAGACUGUUGUGACUCACGAAUAAUCUGCCGUAGGUGAUUUUGAUCUACUUACCUCUUGAUUUGUUUGAGUUUUCAAUUAAAUAGCUAUCUCGACCUCUAUUUUGGUGUUUUAGUUCCAAAACUCUUUCAGAAUAGGCAUUUGUUUUUAUUUUGGCUCCUCCAAGUCUUAUUUUGUGUUUCCUCGUUUCAUGAACAAGUGAUCGGGCUGCUGAUGAGUCUCAGAGCAAUCAAGUGAAAAGAAAGAAGAUGCUGACCAAAUAAGUAAUGGUAUUGGGAGCGCUGCGGUGCAGGUUUUCCAGGGACAAUCCGAUGUUCUUCUCAGACAUGAAUUUAGUAAGCCAGUACAAGAGACAGAUUAUUUCUGAACCACAUAUACUUGCAAUUGCAUUUGUGUUGUUGCUUCAGGUUAAAAAUUGUUUGAAUGUAUGUUGGGUGAAAAGGAAGAAUAAUAAGAAGAAAAAGGCUAACACAAGCAAGCAAAAACAAAAAUACAGUAGGUGCCACAAGUUUGCCGGUUUUGCAAAGUGUGGCAGGCUUAUUGGCUAUAUGAACAUUGAGAUGAUUCCAUUAAAGUUUGUGAAGCAUUAGAGGAAAACUUGAUGAAUAUGGAAUGCAGAUUUGACAAUUAUAUGAAGUUGCUUGAGGAGGAAGGAUGCCAACACGCAUAAACUUAAGCUGAAUGUACCCAAGGAACCCUUAAUUGAGUUUGAUGACUAACUUGAAUCGUUGAUUGUAGUGGAAGUUGAACCAAGUGCGCAUAUUUCAAUUCUCCAUUAUAGAGUGGCUAAUGGCUAAAGAUAUGUCCUGUCAUGAAUUAUUUGUUUUUGUAGAAGGUUUUUAUUGUGACACAAGUUGUAGAAGAUUUUGAUGAAAUAUUUAUUUAUUUAAUUGUUUGUUAAUAAAAAUAUUUUGUCAUUUUUGUGUGUAGUUCAUUAUUGGAGCGUAAUAAUAGUGGUUAGUGCGCAGACAGAG